rnacentral:lncRNA from 1 species
UUUGUGUUAUAUACACUAAACAGAUUCCUAAUAUACGACGAACAUUUCUAUAUACGAAUGAAUUAUUUGUAAAUAUACCAUGAACAUUUCCUGCAUCGGUGCCGACGUGAGACGUACGUCUGCUGGCAACCAAACUCUUAAAAUAUGUGUUGAAUAAUUAAAACAAAAGAAAAAACUUUGCAUAAUAUAAGGAAAAAGAAAGUGU